UGCAGGCUGCAACCCGCCUGUAUGAAGUUGGAAUCGCUAGUAAUCGCGGAUCAGCAUGCCGCGGUGAAUACGUUCCCGGGCCUUGUACACACCGCCCGUCACACCAUGAGAGUCGGGAACACCCGAAGUCCGUAGCCUAACCGCAAGGAGGGCGCGGCCGAAGGUGGGUUCGAUAAUUGGGGUGAAGUCGUAACAAGGUAGC
rnacentral:rRNA from 1 species